GAUGAACGCCGGCGGUGUGCCUAAUACAUGCAAGUCGAACGCGUUGGCCCAACUGAUUGGACGUGCUUGCACGGACUUGACGUUGGUUUACCAGCGAGUGGCGGACGGGUGAGUAACACGUAGGUAACCUGCCCCGGAGCGGGGGGAUAACAUUUGGAAACAGAUGCUAAUACCGCAUAACAACAAAAGUNNCAUGGCUUUUGUUUGAAAGAUGGCUUUGGCUAUCACUCUGGGAUGGACCUGCGGUGCAUUAGCUAGUUGGUAAGGUAACGGCUUACCAAGGCGAUGAUGCAUAGCCGAGUUGAGAGACUGAUCGGCCACAAUGGAACUGAGACACGGUCCAUACUCCUACGGGAGGCAGCAGUAGGGAAUCUUCCACAAUGGGCGCAAGCCUGAUGGAGCAACACCGCGUGAGUGAAGAAGGGUUUCGGCUCGUAAAGCUCUGUUGUUGGAGAAGAACGUGCGUGAGAGUAACUGUUCACGCAGUGACGGUAUCCAACCAGAAAGUCACGGCUAACUACGUGCCAGCAGCCGCGGUAAUACGUAGGUGGCAAGCGUUAUCCGGAUUUAUUGGGCGUAAAGCGAGCGCAGGCGGUUGCUUAGGUCUGAUGUGAAAGCCUUCGGCUUAACCGAAGAAGUGCAUC
rnacentral:rRNA from 1 species